UACGUAGGGUGCAAGCGUUGUCCGGAAGUAUUGGGCGUAAAGAGCUCGUAGGCGGUUUGUUGCGUCGGCUGUGAAAUCCCGAGGCUCAACCUCGGGUCUGCAGUCGAUACGAGCAAACUAGAGUGUUGCAGGGGAGACUGGAAUUCCUGGUGUAGCGGUGAAAUGCGCAGAUAUCAGGAGGAACACCGGUGGCGAAGGCGGGACUCUGGGCCGAUACUGACGCUGAGGAGCGAAAGCGUGGGGAGCAAACAGG
rnacentral:rRNA from 1 species